GGAGAGGUGCCUGAGUGGCUGAAAGGGGCACCCUGCUAAGGUGUUGUACUUUUACGAGUACCGAGAGUUCGCCCCGGCAUUCGCGGGGCGUCCAGCGUAUGCUGGACGAAUCUCUUCUGUG
rnacentral:tRNA from 1 species